rnacentral:rRNA from 1 species
UAAAUCCUCGAAAGUCCCCUAAUUCCGCAUACGACCUGAGGUGAAAGCGAGGGAUCUCAAGACCUCGCGCAUUUUCAGCGGCCGAUAUCAGCUUAGCUAGUUGGUGGGGUAAAGGCUCACCACGCCAACGAUCUGUAGCUGGUCUGAGAGGAAGACCAGCCACACUGGGGAUGAGACACGGUUCAGACUCGUACGGGAGGCAGCAGUGGGCAAUUUUGGACAAUGGACGCAAGUAUGAUCCAGCCAUGCCGCGUGCGGGAAGAAGGCCUUGGGGUUGUAAACCGCUUUUGUCAGGGAAGAAACGCUGUCGGUUAAUACCUCGGGGUAACGACGGUACUUGAAGAAUAAGCACCGGCUAAUUACGUGCCAGCAGCCGCGGUAAUACGUAGGGUGCAAGCGUUAAUCGGAAUUACUGGGCGUAAAGCGUGCGCAGGCGGUUAUGCAAGACAGAGGUGAAAUCCCCGGGCUCAACCUGGGAACUGCCUUUGUGACUGCAUGGCUAGAGUACGGUAGAGGGGGAUGGAAUUCCGCGUGUAGCAGUGAAAUGCGUAGAUAUGCGGAGGAACACCGAUGGCGAAGGCAAUCCCCUGGACCUGUACUGACGCUCAUGCACG